ACUUAAAUAGCUAAUAAUAUUAAAGUGUAAUAUUGAAGAUAUUAAGAAGAUAAUUUAUCUUUAAGUU
rnacentral:tRNA from 1 species